rnacentral:piRNA from 1 species
UAAAAGUAAGAUAGACCUUGAAGUUGUGG